rnacentral:rRNA from 1 species
UACGUAGGGGGCAAGCGUUGUCCGGAUUUAUUGGGCGUAAAGAGCGUGUAGGCGGCUUGGUAGGUCCGCUGUGAAAACUCGAGGCUCAACCUCGAGAUGUCGGCGGAAACCACUUGGCUAGAGUCCGGAAGAGGAGAGUGGAAUUCCCGGUGUAGCGGUGAAAUGCGCAGAUAUCAGGAAGAACACCCGUGGCGAAGGCGGCUCUCUGGGGACGGUACUGACGCUGAGACGCGAAAGCGUGGGGAGCGAACAGG